rnacentral:rRNA from 1 species
UUAGAUACCCUAUUAUUUUGAUUAUUAAUUUAAAUAUUAAAUUAUUAAUAGCUAUGUUCUUUAAAGUUAAAUAAUUUGGCGGUGUUUUAGUCUUUUCAGAGGAACCUGUUCUGUAAUUGAUAAUCCACGAGAGAAACAAUUUUAAUCAGAAAUUUUCAUAUCGUCGUAGAAGAAUAUUUUAUUAGAAUUUUAAUAUUCAUAAUUUUUUAUUUAAAAAGAAAAUCAGAUCAAGAUGUAGUUUAUAUUAAAAUAGAAAUGGGUUACAAUAAAUAAAUUUUUGGAUAUUAUUUUUUAAAAUUAAUUGAAAAUGGAUUUGAUAGUAAUUAAUUUUAC